GGGNGACUGAAAGGGGAUGAUCCCAGCGCAUAACCUCCCGGUCCUUUGGCGGCCGCGGAGGGGUGUUGCGUUUCGGUGGAUCCGUACCGCUCGAGUUGCUGACCGCCUAAGUCAUUGCUUGAAUGCAGCCCCAAGGAGGGUGGUAGGCCCGUGUGGCGGCGCCUGUAAAAAGGUGUGAGGCAGCUUGGGCGGAGGGGUCUUUACCGUAGAGUCGGGUUGCUUAGUACUGCAGCCCUAAGUAGGUGGUAAACUCCAUCUAAGGCUAAAUACGAACACGAGUCCGAUAUUGGACAAGUACCGUGAGGGAAAGCUGAAAAGGACUCUGAAGAGAGAGUUCAAGAGGACGUGAAACCAUUAGAAGCUCAAACGGGUGGAACCGUGAAGGAUGAAAGAGGGGAUUCAGGUUGUGGGUGUGCCGGGUCUUGGCCAGUUUGGCUUGACAGAGAGGACCGUUGAUUAAGUUUGACGUAGCGGUGACUGGCCUGUUGNCCUGGUGCGCCUGCGGUCUUAGUUCUCCCUCGAGUAAUGAUGGUGGCGACCCGCUGCCGGGACCCCUGUGGCCCUUCCGGACUGGUAACCUAGGCCUUCGGGUGUGGGUGAUGACCGGAGGGGAGUAGCUGUGGGUAUCUGNCGGCGGUGGAANCAAGGACGGUG
rnacentral:rRNA from 1 species